CAUUACAUCAUAGUACGCUGACUAGGAGGGGUAAUAAAGGGAGAGUGGGGCAAACAUAUUGAAACAGUCAGUCCAGGGUCUCUGUCUGUCAAGGUCCUGUGGUCAUCUCUCUCCUUGAUAGUCUCACUAGACAGCAGAAAGCUGGGAAUGCUUGUCUGAGAAACCAGAGAAACCAGGACUUGCCUAAGAACAUCCUGAGAAGCAGUAAUCAGGAAAGUGGUCACGAAACACAAGCCACAGACUGCUGAAUCCAGUGCAAAGAAGGGAAAAGAUCCCUGCUGCUCCCACCAGAACCAUAGCUUUCCAUUCUGAGGGCCGCUAAUGGAUGUCUGAGAGGGGAGAGAGGUCCAGAAAUCUACCCAAAAGCAACUCUGAGGAUCAAUUGGCAGAGAAGUGGUGAGGAAAUAGAAGCCACAGACUGCUGAAUCCUGACUCAAAAGAAAGAUAAUAUCCCUACUAGUCCCUCCAGAACAACAGCUUUCCAUUCGGAGGAAUCUUGGAGAGAAGACUAAACAGGAGUAAUAAAAGGGCUUUCAGAAACAGCUGCCUGAAAUACAAGAAGAGAUGAGAAAGCCAAAGGAGAAAGCAGUUGAGCACGUUGAUUCCUUUGGAAAAUCCCAAAGAAGAGGGCUGCUAAUGGAUGUCUAAGAGGGGAGAGAAUUCUGGGAAUUUACCCAAAGUUCACCCUGAAAUUCACUUGUCAGAAAAGUUAUCAGGAAACACAAUCAACAGACUGCUGAAUCCAGUCCCAAGGGAAAGAAAUUAUUCCUACUGGUCACCCCAGGACUGUGGCUUUCCAUUCUGAGGCUAAUCUGGGAAGUUC